UACGAAGGGGGCUAGCGUUGUUCGGAUUUACUGGGCGUAAAGCGCACGUAGGCGGUUCUUUAAGUCAGAGGUGAAAUCCCAAGGCUCAACCUUGGAACUGCCUUUGAUACUGGGGAUCUCGAGUCCGGAAGAGGUGAGUGGAACUGCGAGUGUAGAGGUGAAAUUCGUAGAUAUUCGCAAGAACACCAGUGGCGAAGGCGGCUCACUGGUCCGGUACUGACGCUGAGGUGCGAAAGCGUGGGGAGCAAACAGG
rnacentral:rRNA from 1 species